rnacentral:rRNA from 1 species
CGCUAGCGGGAUGCUUUACACAUGCAAGUCGAACGGCAGCGCGGACUUCGGUCUGGCGGCGAGUGGCGAACGGGUGAGUAAUGUAUCGGAACGUGCCCAGUAGCGGGGGAUAACUACGCGAAAGCGUGGCUAAUACCGCAUACGCCCUACGGGGGAAAGGGGGGGAUCGCAAGACCUCUCACUAUUGGAGCGGCCGAUAUCGGAUUAGCUAGUUGGUGGGGUAAAGGCCUACCAAGGUGACGAUCCGUAGCUGGUUUGAGAGGACGACCAGCCACACUGGGACUGAGACACGGCCCAGACUCCUACGGGAGGCAGCAGUGGGGAAUUUUGGACAAUGGGGGCAACCCUGAUCCAGCCAUCCCGCGUGUGCGAUGAAGGCCUUCGGGUUGUAAAGCACUUUUGGCAGGGAAGAAAUAGGUCUGGCUAAUAUCUAGACUGAAUGACGGUACCUGCAGAAUAAGCACCGGCUAACUACGUGCCAGCAGCCGCGGUAAUACGUAGGGUGCAAGCGUUAAUCGGAAUUACUGGGCGUAAAGCGUGCGCAGGCGGUUCGGAAAGAAGGAUGUGAAAUCCCAGGGCUUAACCCUUGGAAUGGCAUUCUUAACUACCGGCCUAGAGUAUGUCAGAGGGGGGGUAGAAUUCCCAC